rnacentral:rRNA from 1 species
CUACGGGAGGCUGCAGUUAAGAAUAAUCUACAAUGCGCGCAAGCGUGAUAGUUUGAGCCAGAGUGUGUUUCAAUUGAAACACUUUUGCCAAAUGUAAAAAGUUUGGCGAAUAAGGACUGGGUAAGACAGGUGCCAGCCGCCGCGGUAAUACCUGCGGUCCAAGUCGCAACCACAUUUAUUGGGUCUAAAACAUCCGUAGCUUGCUCUGUAAGUCCCUUGUUAAAUCCGGCAUCUUAAGUGUUGGGCGGGCAAGGGGUACUGCAAAGCUAGAGACUGGGAGGCGUGAAGAGUACGUCUAAGGUAGUGGUGAAAUGUUUUAAUCUUAGGCGGACUAACAAUAGCGAAGGCACUUCACGAGAACAGUUCUGACAGUCAGGGAUGAAGGCUAGGGGCGCAAAACGGAUUAGAUACCCUGGUAGUC